UGGCAAUGAUGAUUAAAAGGCCGGACUUACGGCUGCCAUUUACUUCCUUGAUAGUAGAUUGAUGAACUUAUGGUUUAGAUUUUCUGAGCCAG